AAAAAGAAAAAAAAAAAAAACUCAAUUGCCUGAAAACUCGGGAGUUUUCCGGCGAGUUUCGCAGAACCCACGUGAAACGACGGCCACACCACACCCAGCCUUCAACCCACGACUCCCAGCACCUAUCAGAAUACCUGCAAAGGGAGAAAAGAAAGAAAAUACGAGAGAGAGAUUUCGGAUAAACGUCGACGAGUUUCCAGUUUCUCCGACGAGCCCCCAAACCACCCGAAAACCGACACCAAACGAUCAAUUACCACCACGAGAAGGAUCCCUAACGAAAGAAAAAUUACUCAAGGUGCGUUUUGUGCUUUUUCGUAAGCAUCGUCGUCAAUAACCGAGGUCGAAAAAUUGGGUUUUCCUAAUCGUUCUUAGAUCUGUGGUUUUAGGAACUUUUAGGCCACAAAACUCCCAGAAAAGAAAGAAGGACGACAAAUAAAGAGGAAAAAGAAGAAAAAGGACCGAAAUCGGCAACGGAAACGCCGCGAGAAGGAGAGAGAAAACUCGCCGGAAAAUCGGCCGAAGUCGGGUAAGGAAGACGAGAUCCACGAAUCCGGGUCAACCCGAGAGAGACAGCCCAUUCUUUCCCUCGGUCUCUGCCUUCGGCCCAGUCCAACUACAGCAGCCCAAACCUCAAACCAGUCCAGAUGCUACGGUUCAGUUAAACCAACCCGAGACCAGACCCAUGGUUCAAUCGAGCCAGCCUGCAACCCAAACACUUGCAGCCCAGCCUAGUAAGUCGAGGCCCAACGAUUAGUCUUGGCCCAGUAGCCUUCCGCAGCCCGUGACUCGGACCACGACCCGAACCAGACUGCGACACGCGCUUCGACCCGACGCUACUGCACGACGUGGCUUGCUCUUAUUCUGCCAUGUGUCACACAGCGGCGUAGGCGGUCUCUCUGCUCGGCUCGGCGCAAAUGCUCGGGCUCCCUCCGGUGACAUUCCGGCGGCUCCCAACGGCUGUUCGGCUUGGCUCGCCUGUUUUCAGCCAGAUUUCCACUGUUUCGACCCUCCCGGAUAUGUUUUCAGCCCCGAUUAAGGAAACAAACCCCAGAAACGUAGGAAGCAGCUCUCACGGAACGGGAGCUUACGUUUAGCUAUUUAGGGAGUACUUCUGCCAAGGUCAACCAAGUAAGUGGCCUUACUAUAGGAUAGACUAAAGACUGUUUGAAUUAUUAUGAUGUGUGUGUAUGACAUUGUGUUGUGAUGUCCGUUAAAUGUACGCUAUUUUUGUUUCGAUGUAUGACGUACAUGUUAUAUUUGAUGCACUUAAUGGCUUUUAUGAUGAGUAUGAUGUAUGCAUGACGAUGUUAUUAACAUGAUGAUGUUUUCCAUGUUGAACAUGCCUUAUGAUGUUGUUUUCCAUAUUGCAUCAUGUCGUUAGAUCGACAUAGGACACAACCUUAAGAGUAUGAAAAUGAUAUUAAUGUAAAUAUUCACAAGCACGUGUUACAUAGUGUAACCAAGAGAUGAGACUAGAGGAUUGUGUCAGAAGAGAUGUAUAAUUGAACUUAGAGGGACCUCAUGCAUAUUGUAUGUUUAUAAGCAUAGGGCUACUUCCCCUAGAGAUGAUGAGUGCGGACGUGUACCGUAUGAUGAGCGCGAGCGCGAAUGCGCACAGGUGCGAAAACACACAGAUGAUGGUGUUCAUGAGGUGCAUGACACUAUGGGGUUUCGCUGACCUCCAGACGUCGCUAUAGAUUAACUUGACCAGAGGGUCUAGGAGGUGUGCGAACGCCCUGGGGAUUCACACUCGCACGUGUGAGUCGUGUGUAGGGAAGUACUAUACAUCCAAUUUGUCCGAGACUGGAGGCCACCCUUAAGAUGAUUAGAGAUAGAUCUCUAAUUCAUGAUUGCAUGUGUUUGCAUUAGCAUGGCCCUAUAGUGGGGUCACUUACUGAGUAUUUCCAGGCCGUGUGUCAUAUUAUUUUUUUCAGGUAAAGGCAAGAAGCCCAUGUACGGUUGACAGCGGCAUCGUGAUCAGAGACUGUGGCGCGUGCAUAGGAUAUUUGCAUAUUUAAAAUUCCUAGUGUUGGUUAGGAUAGGGCGUUUGCAUUUCACUCAUUUAAAUUAUUUAAUUUGUAAUUGUUUUUAUCUUAUUUUGAACUCCAGCAUGAUGUUUGAAACACGCAAGUCCUGCAGUGUUUUC